CGUGCGCAGGCGGUUAUAUAAGACAGAUGUGAAAUCCCCGGGCUCAACCUGGGAACUGCAUUUGUGACUGUAUAGCUAGAGUACGGCAGAGGGGGAUGGAAUUCCGCGUGUAGCAGUGAAAUGCGUAGAUAUGCGGAGGAACACCGAUGGCGAAGGCAAUCCCCUGGGCCUGUACUGACGCUCAUGCACGAAAGCGUGGUGAGC
rnacentral:rRNA from 1 species